CCUCAGUGAAUAUAGUCAUAUGUACUUAUACACAUAUACUCAUACUGAAAGACCCCCGAAGGGAGACCCUCACUCAAGCCUCGGGAUGUGGCGCGGACCCAAGAGAGACGAGGAGACUG
rnacentral:pre_miRNA from 7 species